UGUAGUUUCUGAUACGUUUGUAUCUACGACUUCAAAGAGCCUUUGAAGGAGGUUGUCCUAAACCAAACCUGUCUGGAACCACACAGAACAGUAACCCCAUUAACCGUUUCAGUGCCUUGUAAUCACCGCAGAUACUAACACUCCCAUUACUUGCUGAUAUGUAGUGAUAAUGAAAUAAGUUUUAAAAUAGUUUCUCAUUUUGUCUCUCUCUCUGUGACACACAGACACACACUUUCAUCCCAUUGCCCAUCCUUCCUCUUCUUCCCCGACUCCCACUCUCUGUCCUCCCUCUCACACUCCCACCGUUUCUCCUCCCCACCCUCUUCCUCCUGCCCUCCCACCACAAUGCCUGCAGUGGCCCUCAAUGUUAGGCAGGAGAUAGACAUCUACCACGGUAAAUUGUGACAAUGGUUUCGCUGGUGAGAACCUGAAGACAAAGUUCCUGCGACAGAGAAAGCCCACAUUUGACCCGAGAACAUCCAGAUGGGACCCUGGCUGAACUGAAAGAAGCUGCACGUGAAGGUCAUCUCUGCAUAGGAGCUCCCCCAGUCAAACAUGGACAAACCCAGCUUGGUGGUAGACCCGCUCAUAAAGGAGCGGGUUUUUGGAGUCGAACAAGACAAUGAUUAGAAAGUGUCGCCAACAAUGGUUAUAAAUUGACGCCACAUGUUUCCAACAAUGGCUUCAAUCUCACGUGGAACACAACCUUCCAGUUCGACGUGUCCGUGUCUGAGCUGGCCUUUGUUCGCUUCCUGGUUCAAACUCUGACGACUUCUGGAG